GAACGCUGGCGGCAGGCUUAACACAUGCAAGUCGAGCGGAUGAAAGUAGCUUGCUACUGGAUUCAGCGGCGGACGGGUGAGUAAUGCUUAGGAAUCUGCCUAUUAGUGGGGGACAACGUUCCGAAAGGAGCGCUAAUACCGCAUACGUCCUACGGGAGAAAGCAGGGGACCUUCGGGCCUUGCGCUAAUAGAUGAGCCUAAGUCGGAUUAGCUAGUUGGUAGGGUAAAGGCCUACCAAGGCGACGAUCUGUAGCGGGUCUGAGAGGAUGAUCCGCCACACUGGGACUGAGACACGGCCCAGACUCCUACGGGAGGCAGCAGUGGGGAAUAUUGGACAAUGGGGGGAACCCUGAUCCAGCCAUGCCGCGUGUGUGAAGAAGGCCUUUUGGUUGUAAAGCACUUUAAGCGAGGAGGAGGCUACCUAGAUUAAUACUUUAGGAUAGUGGACGUUACUCGCAGAAUAAGCACCGGCUAACUCUGUGCCAGCAGCCGCGGUAAUACAGAGGGUGCGAGCGUUAAUCGGAUUUACUGGGCGUAAAGCGUGCGUAGGCGGCCAAUUAAGUCAAAUGUGAAAUCCCCGAGCUUAACUUGGGAAUUGCAUUCGAUACUGGUGGCUAGAGUAUGGGAGAGGAUGGUAGAAUUCCAGGUGUAGCGGUGAAAUGCGUAGAGAUCUGGAGGAAUACCGAUGGCGAAGGCAGCCAUCUGGCSUAAUACUGACGCUGAGGUACGAAAGCAUGGGGAGCAAACAGGAUUAGAUACCCUGGUAGUCCAUGCCGUAAACGAUGUCUACUAGCCGUAGGGGCCCUUGAGGCUUUAGUGGCGCAGCUAACGCGAUAAGUAGACCGCCUGGGGAGUACGGUCGCAAGACUAAAACUCAAAUGAAUUGACGGGGGCCCGCACAAGCGGUGAGCAUGUGGUUUAAUUCGAUGCAACGCGAAGAACCUUACCUGGCCUUGACAUACAGAGAACUUUCCAGAGAUGGAUUGGUGCCUUCGGGAACUCUGAUACAGGUGCUGCAUGGCUGUCGUCAGCUCGUGUCGUGAGAUGUUGGGUUAAGUCCCGCAACGAGCGCAACCCUUUUCCUUAUUUGCCAGCACUUCGGGUGGGAACUUUAAGGAUACUGCCAGUGACAAACUGGAGGAAGGCGGGGACGACGUCAAGUCAUCAUGGCCCUUACGGCCAGGGCUACACACGUGCUACAAUGGUCGGUACAAAGGGUUGCUACACAGCGAUGUGAUGCUAAUCUCAAAAAGCCGAUCGUAGUCCGGAUUGGAGUCUGCAACUCGACUCCAUGAAGUCGGAACCGCUAGUAAUCGCGGAUCAGAAUGCCGCGGUGAAUACGUUCCCGGGCCUUGUACACACCGCCCGUCACACCAUGGGAGUUUGUUGCACCAGAAGUAGGUAGUCUAACCGCAAGGAGGACGCUUACCACGGUGUGGCCGAUGAC
rnacentral:rRNA from 1 species